GUUGGGCAUGGUGGUGCACACCUGUAAUCCCAGAAACCUGGAAGACUGAGACAGGUGGAUUGCAAGUUUUAGGAUAGCCUGGGCAACUUAGUGAGACCCGGUCUCAA
rnacentral:sRNA from 1 species